rnacentral:lncRNA from 1 species
GGGAUAACUACAUUUUGUUCCUCGAAGGUUGCCCUGUAAUAGUGGGUGGGAUAAAACUUGCAUUCCCUGUGAUAGGCUUGCUGUCGUCUGUGUUGUUUCAGCGGUUGUAAAGCUGCGCUGAGAGUGAUCUCGACAAUUAGAGUAGACCAGAGCGCGUUGAAGAAAAAAACUAUAGGAAGACUUCUUGAAAAUAUUUCUUUGGGAGUCCUUUGCACCUCUAGCUAAGGAUUUCACUAUUUAAGUUAAAGGCAAGGGCAUAUUUGGAAAAGAGGCUAGGCUAUUGCUUCGUGGUUCGCAGUUGGGAGAUCCGAAUACACCUGACCUAUCUAUCUACCUAACGUUACCCCAGCAGCGGUUCCCACUGUCUUUAUUUGAUGCUGUUGGAGUGAAAUAACGGUAUGAACUUGAAGAAAACAGACACGGAUUAAACAUUUUUCUCUUCGACAGUAACUUCAUUAUCUACUUGCAGAUUUUUUGAGAAAUUAUCUAAUAAAACAGUUUCAGCGUGAAUAUCUACAAUGGCUUUUUUGUUACGGAAUAUCACACUCCCUUACGGACAAUAGCACGGUGCUUUUCUGGAUUCUGGUAACCUUAACUUGGCAAUAUUUAUUUUGCGUGUAAUACUAUUCUCGCGGAUCUAACAGACAUUCUGAUACUGCGUUCCUGAAAGCAAUUCUUCCCGAAGAAAUAAAUCCCACUGCGGUGAAGUAUCCAAACAGCACUGAAGAACCAUCCGGUGAUAGCCUGUGUGGCAAGUUUACGCAGCUCUCCAUACGCGUGGUGUCUCCCAACUCACACCCCCAAGGGAAGAAAAAGGCAUAUUUCCUGUGGGCCACAUCCGAUGGUAGUCAGGACGGCCUGAUAUUUGUAUGGGUCUUUCUCAUCAUCCAAAGCUGCUGAGGCAGUCUCAUCGCCCUGGGUGGACCACACAGACCCAUCAACUCUAACAGACAGCCAGUCCACUUGCCUCCUGACUACACCGCUAACAUCAAAGGUACCACAUAAGAAAUCACUCUCUCCUCUCCCUUUAAGCCUUUCAUCAUCCAGUCUAAUGUAUCACUGGCUCAAUUAGCUGAAUGUCAUACUUUUCUCUGUUUUUUUUACCAUCGAGUCUUUA